CAGAUUCACCAUUAACCAUGUUUCCUGUAGCUGUGCUGCUGCUGUUGGCAGCUGGAUCAUAUGUGAAGUGUGAAACUUUGACACAGCCAGCCUCUGUGACUGUGCAGCCAGGUCAACCUCUGAUCAUCAGCUGCCAGGUCUCUUAUUCUCUCAGCAGCUACCGCACACAUUGGAUCAGACAGCCUGCAGGAAAAGGACUGGAGUGGAUUGGAAGUUUUCAUAAUGGACACAGCACAUACUAUAAAGAUUCACUGAAGAACAAGUUCAGUAUCGAAUUAGACACUUCCAGCAAAACAGUGACUCUAAAGGGACAGAACUUGCAGCCUGGAGACACUGCUGUGUAUUACUGUGCCAGAGACACACAAUGAUACAAACCAUCAGCCGACCUGAACAAAAACCCCUCAGUGCCUGAACACUAGUUAUAUGAAGCCACCAGAGGAGGAGCCCAAAGACUGCUGGUGAUUUUAGACCAGUUCACUGUUACAGUAAAGAGGAAUCAGUCCGUUUCAUAACUGCAGGAACUCUUUUCAUUACUUCACUCAUUCCUCCUGCAUAACAUGU